rnacentral:rRNA from 1 species
UAACACUUAGAAAUAGGUGCUAAUACCGCAUAACAACAGAAAGCGCAUGCUUUUUGUUUGAAAACCAAGGUGGUAUGGGAUGGACCCGCGUCUGAUUAGCUGGUUGGCGGGGUAAAGGCCCACCAAGGCGACGAUCAGUAGCCGGCCUGAGAGGGUGGACGGCCACAUUGGGACUGAGACACGGCCCAAACUCCUACGGGAGGCAGCAGUGGGGAAUAUUGCACAAUGGGGGAAACCCUGAUGCAGCGACGCCGCGUGAGUGAAGAAGUAAUUCGUUAUGUAAAGCUCUAUCAGCAGGGAAGAAAAUGACGGUACCUGAGUAAGAAGCCCCGGCUAACUACGUGCCAGCAGCCGCGGUAAUACGUAGGGGGCAAGCGUUAUCCGGAUUUACUGGGUGUAAAGGGAGCGUAGACGGCAGUGCAAGUCUGGAGUGAAAGGCGGGGGCUCAACCCCCGGACUGCUCUGGAAACUGUACGGCUGGAGUGCAGGAGAGGUAAGUGGAAUUCCUAGUGUAGCGGUGAAAUGCGUAGAUAUUAGGAGGAACACCAGUGGCGAAGGCGGCUUACUGGACUGUAACUGACGUUGAGGCUCGAAAGCGUGGGGAGCAAACAGGAUUAGAUACCCUGGUAGUCCACGCGGUAAACGAUGAAUACUAGGUGU